rnacentral:rRNA from 1 species
GACGAACGCUGGCGGCGCGCCUAACACAUGCAAGUCGAACGGAGAUUACAGGCGGAAGUUUUCGGAUGGAAGCUUGUAAACUUAGUGGCGGACGGGUGAGUAACACGUGAGCAACCUGCCUAUCAGAGGGGGAUAACGAUUGGAAACGAUCGCUAAUACCGCAUGACAUAGCGGAACCGCAUGGUUCUGUUAUCAAAGAUUUUAUCGCUGAUAGAUGGGCUCGCGUCCGAUUAGAUAGUUGGUGGGGUAACGGCCUACCAAGUCGACGAUCGGUAGCCGGACUGAGAGGUCGAACGGCCACAUUGGGACUGAGACACGGCCCAGACUCCUACGGGAGGCAGCAGUGGGGGAUAUUGCACAAUGGGGGAAACCCUGAUGCAGCGACGCCGCGUGAGGGAAGACGGUCCUCUGGAUUGUAAACCUCUGUCUUCGGGGACGAAACGAGACGGUACCCGAGGAGGAAGCCACGGCUAACUACGUGCCAGCAGCCGCGGUAAUACGUAGGUGGCAAGCGUUGUCCGGAAUUACUGGGUGUAAAGGGAGCGUAGGCGGGCAGGCAAGUCAGGCGUGAAAUAUAUCGGCUCAACCGGUAACGGCGCUUGAAACUGCAGGUCUUGAGUGAAGUAGAGGUUGGCGGAAUUCCUAGUGUAGCGGUGAAAUGCGUAGAUAUUAGGAGGAACACCAGUGGCGAAGGCGGCCAACUGGGCUUUUACUGACGCUGAGGCUCGAAAGUGUGGGGAGCAAACAGGAUUAGAUACCCUGGUAGUCCACACCGUAAACGAUGAUUACUAGGUGUGGGGGGACUGACCCCUUCCGUGCCGGAGUUAACACAAUAAGUAAUCCACCUGGGGAGUACGGCCGCAAGGUUGCAACUCAAAGGAAUUGACGG